CCUACGGGUGACUGCAGUGGGGGAUAUUGCACAAUGGGGGAAACCCUGAUGCAGCGACGCCGCGUGUGGGAAGACGGUCCUCUGGAUUGUAAACCACUGUCCCCAGGGACGAAAAUGACGGUACCUGGGGAGGAAGCUCCGGCUAACUACGUGCCAGCAGCCGCGGUAAGACGUAGGGAGCGAGCGUUGUCCGGAAUUACUGGGUGUAAAGGGAGCGUAGGCGGGGAUGCAAGUUGGGUGUCAAAACUACCGGCUCAACUGGUAGUCGCACUCAGAACUGCCGCUCUUGAGUGAGGUAGAGGCAGGCGGAAUGCCUGGUGUAGCGGUGAAAUGCAUAGAUAUUACGAGGAACCCCAGUGGCGAAGGCAGCCUGCUGGGGUCUUACUGACGCUGAGGCUCGAAAGUGUGGGGAGCGAACAGGAUUAGAUACCCGGGUAGUC
rnacentral:rRNA from 1 species